rnacentral:rRNA from 1 species
GACGAGGAUGCUGGGAUGAAGACAGCUAUCCCUUUAGUUUUCCCGCAUAUCUGCCACAGGCGUUGUUUGUUUCAUAUUAAAAAGAAGGCUGAGGAAAAAUGUACUAGGACUUUUGCAGCAAAUAAAACACUGCAUGAUGAUUUCAGUGACAUCAUUCACAACUCUCUGACGGUGGCUGAGUUUGAGCAAUUGUGGACAGAGAUGAUCCAGAAAUACAACAUUGGGCAUGUGAAGUAUUUCCAAAUCAUGUGGAAGAAAAGGAAAAGGUUUGUCCCUGUGUAUUUCAAGACGGACUUCUUCCCCUUCAUUCACUCUACUGCGCGUAGUGAAGGCACCAACGCCAUUUUCAAGGACAACAUCACGUCAACUCACAAUGUGAUCAGCUUCCUCCAAGAGUACCAGAAGAUUUCAGAAACCAUACAAGAUAAGGAGAGGGAGCAAGACUCUAUCACAAGAACAACUUCGCCGACAUUCUGG